rnacentral:rRNA from 1 species
AUUGAACGCUGGCGGCAUGCUUUACACAUGCAAGUCGAACGGUAACAGGGAGCUUGCUCCGCUGACGAGUGGCGAACGGGUGAGUAAUGCGUCGGAACGUGCCGAGUAGUGGGGGAUAACGCAGCGAAAGUUGUGCUAAUACCGCAUACGUACUGAGGUAGAAAGUGGGGGACCUUCGGGCCGUACGCCAUUCGAGCGGCCGGCGUCUUAUUAGCUAGUAGGUGAGGUAAGGGCUCACCUAGGCGACGAUCAGUAGCGGGUCUGAGAGGAUGAUCCGCCACACUGGGACUGAGACACGGCCCAGACUCCUACGGGAGGCAGCAGUGGGGAAUUUUGGACAAUGGGCGAAAGCCUGAUCCAGCCAUGCCGCGUGUCUGAAGAAGGCCUUCGGGUUGUAAAGGACUUUUGUCGGGGAGGAAAUCCCCAGCGCUAAUACCGCUGGGGGAUGACAGUACCUGAAGAAUAAGCACCGGCUAACUACGUGCCAGCCGCCGCAGUAAUAC